AGUGAACGCUGGCGGUAGGCCUAACACAUGCAAGUCGAACGGAAGCACAGUAAGAGCUUGCUCCUACGGGUGGCGAGUGGCGGACGGGUGAGAAAUAGAUAGGCAUCUACUUUUUCGUGGGGGAUAACGUAGGGACACUUACGCUACUACCGCAUACGACCUACGGGUGAAAGCAGGAGAUCUUCGGACCUUGCGCGUUAGAAUGAGCCGAUGUCGGAUUAGCUAGUUGGCGGGGUAAAGGCACACCAAGGCGACGAUGCGUAGCUGGUCUGAGAGGAUGAUCAGCCACACUGGAACUGAGACACGGUCCAGACUCCUACGGGAGGCAGCAGUGGGGAAUAUUGGACAAUGGGCGCAAGCCUGAUCCAGCCAUACCGCGUGAGUGAAGAAGGCCUUCGGGUUGUAAAGCCCUUUUGUUAGGAAAGAAAAGCAGCAUGUUAAAACCCCGCUGUUCUGACGGUACCCAAAGAAUAAGCACCGGCUAACUUCGUG
rnacentral:rRNA from 1 species